GGGCAUCUUUUCUGCUGGGACAUGUAUACUCAUCAGCAAACGUAUGAUGAGCUCUCACAUUCAGACCUGAGUCUGUCAGCUGUCACCACUCCCUUAUCUCAUGCUGGAAAGGCACACCAAAAUACAGAACUUUCAGGAAGGCACCAUCGGUCUUGAGCUGGAAGCCCGCCUUUUAGGUUUUGAAGAGAGAAGAGGUGGAGGAGGAUGUGUGCUCCAUGAAGAUGUGCUCACAGAAUCUAACUUGCUGUGGGGUGGCCAGAGGCCUCGACGAGGAUGCCAAUGACCUUCAGAUGUCUCCGGCUCCUAUCAUGGCUGUGUGAAGCUAUAGGCUGUGUUGAAGACCAACCAGGGGAGAGCAAGCUAAGGCCAUUUAUUCAGAGGCUGCUGUAGCAGGGGAGUCAGGCACCCACACAUGUCUUAUGGAAAGCUGCUUCUGCCCCAACCCUGUUUUAGCAAGUCCUCAGUUUAAUCUGAUAUCCGAGUACCACCUCCUAACCCAUUUCUACCCAUCUUAGGUUCAUCGGCUGGGGCCCUUGUGACAAAAGACAGAUUAACAAGAGAAAGGUACACAAAUUUAUUUAAUAUAAGUGUUAUGUGACACAGGAACCUUCAAAAGGAAAUGAAGUUCUGAAGAAACAGCUAAACCUGAAGGGUUUUUGUCGUAGAUUUGAGGAAGAAUGAAGCAUUGUGGGAAAAUAUGACAAAGCAAAGAAAAAGAAUGAGAGAAAUGUAAUAAACCGGGGA
rnacentral:lncRNA from 1 species